GCCUGGGUGGCUCAGUUGGUUAAGCGGCUGACUUCAGCUCAGGUCAUGAUCUCACAGUUUGUGAGUUCGAGCCCCGCAUCAGGCU
rnacentral:tRNA from 1 species